CUCCAACCCAAAACAGUGUGUUGCAUCCCCAUCUGCUGACUGAAGGUUUGUCAGGCAUUUGUGUGGUUGCAGGGUGGACACUGCACCCAUGGGCUAUGCAGGAACUUGCUCAAGUCCUUCUCAGCAGCUCUGUCUUCAUCUGUGUGGGCUCCGUAUCGACGUAUGUGAAGGAGAGACCCCAAGGGGCAGUUGGCGUACUGACUGAACAUCUACUGCUGUGCCCUGUCUGCUCAUGAUGCUCGGUGGCUCUUUGUGCACUCUGAGCUCGCAGCACUGGUAGCAGAUCCCCAGUGUACACCACUUGUGUCAGCUGUGCAGAAGACUUCUAACAUCCAGGCACUGACACACUGUGGUCACCACUGAGCUGCUGAGAGCUCCCCAGGGACAUGGAGCUUCCUCUGUAGCACUGCGGCAAUAUAGAACCAUAGGAGCAUUCAGGUGUGUGCUGCAUUGCCACGCAGAUGGACAUCCCUGCCUCCAGGAUGGGAAGAGCUCCUUGCAAGCAACAUUUAUGUGACCAGCUGUAUUUCAACAAUAAAUGGGUGCAGCUCUUUCAGUGUGCGAUCCAGGUUUGGUGUCCCAGGAACAGCUGCAGAAAUCCUGCCUUGUAUGGGGAGCAUGGCUGGCUGAUCUGCUGAAUUGCUGCUGUGAUUAUAAUUACAUCAGCUGUCUGGCAGCCUCAGCAAAGGGUCCUCCAGCAUACAGACUACAGGCUGUUAAGGAAAGGAAAAGAAAAAACCAAAGCAACAGCCUUUUCUCUUACAUUCGGAUAUCUUUAGGGAUAUAAGGAACCUCCAUCAGUGGCCAACCACGUAAUGAAGCUGCCACAUCUCUAUGGGCUGUGGCCAGUAUUGCUCCUGGAGUGGACCAGAGCUGCUUCUUAGAUGUUAUUCCUGUUUUCAGCAUCCAGGAGAGGACAGUGCUGGAAUGAAGCUUGUUUUGCCAGGGGAGGUGCAGAAUGAAUAUUAGGAAACAUUUCUUCUCAGAAGGAGUGGUGCUGCAGUGUUCACAGACUGCCCAGGGAGUGGUGGGGUCACCAUCCUUGGAGGUGUCCAAGAACCAUGGAGAUGUGGCACUGAGGUCUCCUUCACACCGGCGUGUUUUCUGAAUGGCCCCUUGCAAACCUUGUAUGUGUGGGAAUUGCUACGAAAUUGAAAUAGGCUUGGACUUGUUCACAUCCACUCGCUGUAUUCAAGAUGAAAACACAUAGAAAAGCGAUUCAGAGCGACAGAACACUUUUUAAUUUAGAAAACAAAAGCUUUUCUGGAAGCCCAGAACUUCACCCAAAC
ensembl:lncRNA